rnacentral:rRNA from 1 species
GACGUAGGGCGCGAGCGUUGUCCGGAUUUAUUGGGCGUAAAGAGCUCGUAGGCGGCUUGUCGCGUCAACUGUGAAAACCCGUGGCUCAACCAUGUGGUCUGCAGUCGAUACGGGCAGGCUAGAAUUCGGUAGGGGAGACUGGAAUUCCAGGUGUAGCGGUGAAAUGCGUAGAUAUCUGGAGGAACACCGGUGGCGAAGGCGGCAUCCUGGACCGGUAUUGACGCUGAGGCGCGAAAGCUAGGGGAGCAAACGGG